CCCGUGCCUCCCGUCCUCCCCCAAUCCCUGCCUCCUCUCACCUCCUCCUCCUCCUCUAGAGACAGCGGCGGCUCGGCCCUGCCCGGCCAUGGAGAUGGAGCUCAGCGCGGUUGGAGGUGAGACCAGCAGCUAGAGGCGUGGUUGCAGGGAGAAGGGAAGAGGCGCCGUCCGUCGAUCCGCUGCGCCGGCUUGCAGCGAGAUCAAGAAGGAGGGUGGAUGGCGGCGGCGACCGGAGGCGCCGGGCGCGGCCACAGAAGGGCCGACGCGCGGCGGAUCCGCGCAGGCAGUGACGCCCGAACAACGGGGGCUUUGCCGCCGCCGGCUGGACGCGGCAGCGUUGGGGACGGACGACGCGUCAACGCGGAGCAGCAGCAUGCUCUGGAUGCGGAAAAAGGAGGCGCAGGUCGUCGCGGGAGCUCCGACGGCGGCGGCGGUCAAACAGCAGAGUUGCCUCCUCACAGUGGAGGAUCUUCUCCAUCGACGGGCGAGAUCCGGGGUAGGGAUGGCCAGAUCGUUGCGGGCGGCGGAUUUCGAGCGUGGGCGACAGCGACCAUGAGUAUGGGUACCCGUCUUCUUCCCCAGCCAUUCGGUGACCAACGCCCCGAGCAACAACGGAUGCCAGCUGCUGCUUGGAGCCUGGUGGAGUCGGCGCCCUUGCUGCAGCCUACAGCCGUCUCCCCUUGCCCGCUGACUCAUGAUGCAAUCACAGCUGCCCGGGUCGAUCCACACUUCUCCCUUUGCUACAUAGAAACAGAUCAGUUGUUGAAAAUGUAUUAAAAAGAUAGAAGAGAGGGAAGCAGGCUGGACGUGUCAAACUAAAGUAAAUGUAGAUGAUUUCUACUCUGUGUACUGUGCAGAAGUCCAAAGAAGAUGUUGGGGCUUGGUCCUAGGAAGAGUUAGUGCGAAUAUUGUGGACAGUUUUGUCCAUAUACAGACCAAUUGCAAAGAGCCAGUUGACCAAGAAUUUUCAGAAGAUAACAGACCGUUCCCUCUUUUGGUGCAAGCACUGCUAGGUUCAGCAAAAUGAGUUAAUUUUCCUAUAAAACCAAUGCAUCUCUUUAGCUACAGGAGACCAAUGAAUUUAUGUUGAUCGGUUUGGAGGUGUCCAUACCCAGGAUGGUAUGGGCUGGAGCGGAGGAGCUUUGACGGCUUCGCCUCACCGCAGUGCACAUACAUGCUACUACUGUGGAUCUUUUGAGUUUCUACCAGCUGAAGGUGCAGCAAAUGACCUGGAAUUCACAAUGGUGGGUUUCCUUGCAGAAUCUCCUCUGCAGAGAGCCCCUGAAGCUUGUUCAUGGCAUCACUCCCACAUGAAUUGGUACUGAGCUGGAUGCUGAAGCACUUAAUUACCGUAUGUCGAGUGUCUCAAGAGACAGAAGAUGUACCUCAACGAUCUGUCCCAAAAACUGACAAAGUUGCUUGAAGCAUUUCUGGUUCAUGACACCUUCAUGAUAGGACUAUUAUCUGGUUGAAAUAUCUGGUAGACUAUCAGGUUAAAUUACCAAUGAGGUUGAUGCUAUUGUUUCCUGAAAUGGUACCAUUGGAAUAGAUCAGCUGCAUUGGUAGCGAUGACUGCAAAGCUGUGAUUUUAUCUCCAUUUGCUCUAGACUAUGUACAUCUCUAUGUCCCUGGAUUCUCCUUAUUUAUUUGAGUCAUUUGUACCAUCAGGUUUGCCUCCUUACUUGCUUGUUGUUUUAUGAGACAACAUGGGAUGUUACGAAGGUCGAUAAUGCCACCUCCUUCUCCCAUGUCAAUUUCUUCUUUAGAUCAUCCUUUUGUUCUUCCGGUUCAGCAUAGUUUAGUUUGAGGGUUCAGUACAGAAUACAAAUAUUUCAGAAUGAUAUAAUGAGACUUAAGCUCUGGCAUGCAGACCAGCUUGACCACCAUUGGAGAAAAUGGUAGGGGGCGGAUAUGUCAUUGUUUACUUUAGUUUUAGACAAAUGAAAAGCUUGAUUGUUGCCAAGUCAAAAGAACAUGUUAGACCUUGCAUUUGUGUACUUUUCUGGAUCCAGAUUAUGCUUGACACGGGUGGCUGGAGCCACUAUUGAUUUACAUAUUGCAGCAGACACAAAACACUUGCAGGCUAAAAUAAUAGGCCAAGCCUAGGACUUGGCCCUUUGGUCAUAUGAUGUUGCAAAGCUGAGCAACAUCAUUUCUUUUAGUUAGUUUCUCAAGAUCCACCUUUUUCUUUCCCGACCCUUUGGGAUCAGAAUUUUGGCCACUGCAAACCUUCUGCAUUGCUCUGAUUAGUUAGUGUUGGGCAAGUUUUAAAAAGUUCUCUCACAGAUUUUAUUUCGGUUGCAUGUGCUUUGCCCCUCGGAUCUUGUGACCAUGAUGUGGGUAAGCUCAAGGCUCAUCUGGUGUUUCCAGUUGAGUAGCUGGGCUGCCUCGUGCAUUCAGGUUGUCCCCUCAGUUCUUCUGUUAGCUGCUCUUAGAUGAGGCAUUCAAGCCCCAAAUAUCUCUCACACACACUCAGUCCCUCUGUUUGUUUUCCUGAGGUGCCUAUGAGAACUACAUAGAUAUAAUUCAAGUGGUUUGCUUUAGUUGUGGCAUUUAUGGCCUUAAUCAAGAUCCAUGUAGUGCUUUCCAUUGGCUCCAUGUUCUGCUAUAUACAUCUCCUGGUUCUAGGAUUUAGUAGGUUGCUUCUUGUCUCAUAUUGUACUGCGCUCUGGUUCUGUGCUCUUUUGAUGUGUUGAGGACGUGGUAUGGAUGGAUGAUGACGUAGAACAAGCGCAGCCCAGCCUUCUCUUUCCGAGAUCUGUGAGGCAAGCAUCCUUCCAUCGUUUAUGGAUUGCAGAAGGCACAGAAUGAGAUCGGCCCAGCCUUCUCUUACCUGGAUCAGCCAAGGGAGCAUCCUUCCAUGACAAUGGCCAAAUCAUGUACCGAUGUACGGACUCUGAUGUUGUCAACAACAACGGGCCUCUCGACAGUGUCGUGUACGGCCAAGUCAACACAUUCGCCUCAGGGGUUAUCCUGAUGGAGCUGAGAAGCGGCCGAGCCUCACUCUCCAAAGAUACAAGAGAUGUGGUGGACUACGUUAUGUAUAUUCAUAGCUCAUGGUUAUACUGUUUGGGGCCUGCUUGAUUAUGCACCGUUGGCCUUUUGUUAAACUUUUUUACUCAACUUUUGGCAUUUCUGAAGUUUAUUUAAGGAUACUGUGUUUAAAAAUCACCCUGCUAUAAUUUGUA